UUGCGUCAAUACAACUGAAUAGUCUUCCUUGAAAAAAAUCUAGUGCCUCCUUAAAAAUCUAGUUCUACGUGCCUCCUUAAAAAAUCUUUGUGAUGAACGGCUACCACUCCCCUUCCACGCGAAUCAAAGAGGAGCAACAAUUCUGUAAACUGAAUGCCAGCCAGCAACGAGAUGGAAGUUUAACAAGCUGACUUUGUUAUUUGACCUGUCCCAGUGCAGCAGAGGAGCCAGUGAAGAACAGCUGUGCUGUGCGCCACCUGGACCUGAUGACAUUUUGACGUCCAGAGCAUCCUGCCAUUCUGUAUGCACGUAAGAUCCUGACAAGAAAUUGUGCAACUUAUGCAAAAGUUAAAAAACAAGCUGCCUUAGUCAGUGAUUUCACACUAUCCACAAUCACAAGACAUAAGCGGUGAACCUUACAAUGUAUAUAAUAUGCACAUUUUGCCACAUCCUGAAUUUGUGUGCAAACGCAAGAGUGCUUUCCAGUCAUAACAGCAUUUCUGCCAUAGCCAUGACCGACUAGGUUGUUAUGAUACUCCAGCCCAUGCUUUUCAAAGCAUUUUACUACUACUUAGUCCUGUGUCAUCCAUAAUAACACUG